rnacentral:snRNA from 1 species
UGAUGUGAGGGUGAUCUGGCUGCGACAUGUGUCACCACACUGAUUCCCAGGGUUGAUUCUGCAAAUCUGGCUAGCUAGGUGGGUGUCUCCUUCCUCGCUCACCACUCCAUGUGCAUCCCUCCUAAAGCUGCUCACUGGUUUGAAGAGGAUGGCCUUCACCAGAAUAGAGACAGGCCUGUCUCUGGUCGAGGGUAUAGGAGUAGCUGCACCUUCUUGCAUGAACCCCCAAGAGAAGCUCUCAAAAGAUAAGAAACAAGUUGACAAGGAUUUAGAAAGAAGGGAGCCCUUAUACAUUUUUUUUUGCCAGAAAAUUUAAACUGCUGU